UCAUAUCAAUAAGCGGAGGAAAAGAAACCAACCGGGAUUGCCCUAGUAACGGCGAGUGAAACGGCAAGAGCUCAAAUUUGAAAGCUGGCCCCCUCGGGGUCCGCAUUGUAAUUUGCAGAGGAUGCUUCGGGAACGGCCCCCCAUCUAAGUGUCCUGGCACGGGCCGUCAUAGAGGGUGAGAAUCCCGUCUGGGAUGGGGUGGCCGCGCCCGUGUGAAGCUCCUUUGACGAGUCGAGUUGUUUGGGAAUGCAGCUCUAAUUGGGUGGUAAAUUUCAUUUAAAGCUAAAUAUUGGCCGGAGACCCGAUAGCGCACAAGUAGAGUGAUCGAAAGAUGAAAAGCACUUUGAAAAGAGAGUUAAACAGCACGUGAAAUUGUUGAAAGGGAAGCGCUUGCGACCAGACUCGCCCGCGGGGUUCAGCCGGCACUCGUGCCGGUGUACUUCCCCGCGGGCGGGCCAGCG
rnacentral:rRNA from 1 species